CUUGGUUAGGCCACGUGCUUCAGGCUUUCAUUUGCGUUGAAAACUUUGUGGAAAGAUGGGUUGAAAACAUCAUCAUAUAAUGCGGAUUGAAAAUACAUAAUAUGAUAGGCACGUUGACUUGAAAAAAUUCGUCGACUGCAAAAACAAGAUGGCGACAUGCCAGGCAAGCUUCCAUUUUAUUGGACGUAAAAAUGCAUAAAAAGGUUGCGGACAUGAUUUGAUGACCUAAAUGAGGUUAUAUUGAAGACGAAUUAUCUUACAUGGUGCAAGAAUUUCGCGCCAGAGUGGAAAGGAAGGGCCCUUAUUGAUUGUAUUGAUAAUAGAAAUAAUUGUCUCAAUAAAAUGAUUUAAACAAUUACAAUA
rnacentral:sRNA from 1 species